GACGAACGCUGGCGGCGUGCUUAACACAUGCAAGUCGAGCGGAAAGGCCUCUUUCGGGGGGUACUCGAGUGGCGAACGGGUGAGUAACACGUGAGUAACCUGCCCUUGACUUUGGGAUAACUUCAGGAAACUGGGGCUAAUACCGGAUAGGAGCUCCUGCUGCAUGGUGGGGGUUGGAAAGUUUCGGCGGUUGGGGAUGGACUCGCGGCUUAUCAGCUUGUUGGGGGGGUAGUGGCUUACCAAGGCUUUGACGGGUAGCCGGCCUGAGAGGGUGACCGGCCACAUUGGGACUGAGAUACGGCCCAGACUCCUACGGGAGGCAGCAGUGGGGAAUAUUGCACAAUGGGUGGAAGCCUGAUGCAGCAACGCCGUGUGCGGGAUGACGGCCUUCGGGUUGUAAACCGCUUUCGCUCAUGACGAAGCUUUGUGUGACGGUAGUGGGUAAAGAAGCACCGGCUAACUACGUG
rnacentral:rRNA from 1 species